rnacentral:rRNA from 1 species
AUGGCGUACACGAAGUUGAGUGAGUUAACCACAAGGGGGAAAACAUGGAAUAUUAAAGCCAAAGUAAUGAGAAUGUGGGACUCGAUCAAUCCUUCGAUUGAUGAACUUAUGAGCAUCGAUAUGAUCUUGAUGGAUGAGCAGGGCCAUACAGUUCAUGCUACUAUCUGGAAGAAUCCAAUUGACACUUACAGAGCAAAGAUCAACAAGGAUGUCAUUGUGUUACUUACCAAGAUUAAGCCAAUAGAAUCAAGGAUAACAAAGAAGGAAACACCUUCAGAUAUACGUGAGAUUGAAAUUCUAAUGCCAGAGGGCGAUAGAAUCAGAGUAUCAUUAUGGGGAAGAUUAGCUCAUCAUUUAAGUGAGGAUGUAAUUGGCAAUCAAACAAUUAUUAUUGUUACCUCAACAAUGGUGCAAACAUUUACGUCAACUAGCGCCACAAGAUUAUAUACCAAUCUUGAUAUACCUGAGACCUGGGAACUUCGUGGCAGCCACUCCACCGAAGAAACUUUACCAAAAAUGAUGGAUAUAUAUAAAAGUACUCAAGGGACACUGGAAGAUCAAAUGUUUUACAGAAGGAUAACCUUAAAAGAACUUACUGGAAUUAGGCACGACAACCCAACAGAUGAGGACUUUGUGUUCACAACAAUAGCUACAAUUGAUCGGUUACAAGAAAAUAUUCAAUGGUGGUACAUGUCAUGCGAUGUUUGCAACAGAAUUGCUAUGAAAGAAUCACAUAAUUAUUACUGCAAGAACUGUGAUACGUAUCCAGAAGGUUUAACACCAAGACUUAUCUUUCGAUUCAAACUCAACAAUAAGAACCUCACUCUAGGCAUGCAGAACUAUGCAAUGAAGAAAAUAUUUGUGCCUGAUGAGAAGCUUGAGAAGCGAUACUUAGAGGAUAAAGCUGAAGAGGAUUUGAUGGAUGAUGAAGUGGACAACAUGUUAAAACAAGAAACAAAGAAACUGAAUGAGCCAGUUAAAAAGGUACAGAUUAGCAAGUGUGAACUUAGCAAAAACAUAUGUGAGUUGGUCCCUGUGAAAGAGGAGCCAGAAGAUAAAAGCAAUGGAAGUACAAAAAAGCAGUGCCCAAAAGUACCAGAAGUGUUCAUGGAAAAAGCAAAAAGAAAAAAGUUGAACAUGAAGGCUCAGAUGUUCAUAACGUGGAAGAUAAAAGUAUCAUCAACACAACCACAAGGAUGA